GACGGAGGGUGCUAGCGUUGUUCGGAAUCACUGGGCGUAAAGGGCGCGUAGGCGGCCUCAGGUGUCGGAUGUGAAAGCCCGGGGCUCAACCCCCGGAGGUGCAUCCGAAACUCUGGGGCUGGAGGUCGGAAGAGGAGGGUGGAAUACCCAGUGUAGAGGUGAAAUUCGUAGAUAUUGGGUGGAACACCGGUGGCGAAAGCGGCUCUCUGGUCCGGACCUGACGCUGAGGCGCGAAAGCGUGGGGAGCAAACAGG
rnacentral:rRNA from 1 species